UUCAUAUUAAUAUUACGAAAACUACACUAUAUUUUUGUGGAUUUAAUGACGGACAGAUAGAUAAAGGUACUUUUGACAUUUACAUAGCGCUUAGAGAUGAGGAAAGAUGUAAAAUUUGUACAUGGGAAGCAGUAAAAGAUGGUAUUUAUGGAUAUAGCGACAAACAUCCUCAACCAGCUUUACUGUUUUAUAAGUG
rnacentral:sRNA from 1 species